CCUACGGGAGGCAGCAGUGGGGAAUAUUGCGCAAUGGGCGCAAGCCUGAUGCAGCGACGCCGCGUGAAUGACGAAGGCCUUCGGGUUGUAAAGUUCUUUCGACAUGGAAGAAAAUGCCUAUAAGUAAACGUCUAUGCAUUGACGUUACCUGUAUAAGCAGCCCCGGCUAACUCCGUGCCAGCAGCCGCGGUAAUACGGAGGGGGCGAGCGUUGUUCGGAGUGACUGGGCGUAAAGGGCGCGUAGGCGGUGUGGUAAGUCAGAAGUGAAAGCCCAGGGCUCAACCUUAGAAAUGCUUGUGAUACUGGCAUACUUGAGUAUCGUAGAGGAAUGCAGAAUUCCUGGUGUAGCGGUGAAAUGCGUAGAUAUCAGGAGGAAUACCGGUGGCGAAGGCGGCCAGCUGGACUGAAACUGACGCUGAGGUGCGAAAGCGUGGGUAGCAAACAGGAUUAGAUACCCUUGUAGUC
rnacentral:rRNA from 1 species